rnacentral:misc_RNA from 1 species
CAGAGUUCGCAAGACUCCUUAAACCACUGUGAACCUUACUGUCUUCUACCGUUGCUUCGCGCGGUGCUCCAGGCGGUCCCCCGCCCCCCGGGGCGCUGCGCCGCCGGAGCAUACCUAAUCUCUUGACAUUAGUGGCCUCUCGAGUAAGCUUACGAAUAAGUCA